rnacentral:rRNA from 2 species
CUUGACACUGAACAUUGAGCCUUGAUGUGUAGGAUAGGUGGGAGGCUUUGAAGUGUGGACGCCAGUCUGCAUGGAGCCGACCUUGAAAUACCACCCUUUAAUGUUUGAUGUUCUAACGUGGACCCGUGAUCCGGGUUGCGGACAGUGUCUGGUGGGUAGUUUGACUGGGGCGGUCUCCUCCUAAAGAGUAACGGAGGAGCACGAAGG